CCUACGGGAGGCAGCAGUGGGGAAUAUUGCACAAUGGGGGGAACCCUGAUGCAGCGACGCCGCGUGAGUGAGGAAGUACCUCGGUAUGUAAAGCCCUAUCAGCAGGGAAGAAAAUGACGGUACCUGACUAAGAAGCCCCGGCUAACUACGUGCCAGCAGCCGCGGUAAUACGUAGGGGGCAAGCGUUAUCCGGAUUUACUGGGUGUAAAGGGAGCGUAGACGGCUAAGCAAGUCAGAAGUGAAAACCCAGGGCCCAACCUCGGGACUGCUGUUGAAACCGAGUGGCUAGAGUGCGGGAGAGGUAGGCGGAAUUCGUGGUGUAGCGGUGAAAUGCGUAGAUAUUAGGAGGAACACCGGUGGCGAAGGCAGCAUGCUGGACCGUAACUGACGUUGAGGCUCGAAAGCGUGGGGAGCGAACAGGAUUAGAUACCCGGGUAGUC
rnacentral:rRNA from 1 species